rnacentral:lncRNA from 1 species
AUUAUCUCUAAGGUGGUUCUUAAGGUCAAGUUCUGUCAGCAGAACAGCAACAGAGAGAGUGCAUGAAGGUGAGAUUCAAGAAAGCUUUUGUGGAUAUAGAAAGGGCAAAUUGCCUCAUCAGUCAUCCACUCCAUCUUCAACUACUCUAAUAACUCUCAUUCCAGUGCUCAGCUGAGGCACAGACUCAAGGCCAAAGUCUACUUCUGAGAUAUAGGAAGAGUAGCAGGUAUUUUUUAGCCUGGAGAACUUGGGAAAAAUUAAAACAAAAUCUACUGUUCUAGCCCAAUAUAUAUUCUCAGAAUGAGUUUGUCCUGA